AGCAGUAGCCGCGGUAAUACGUAGGGUGCAAGCGUUAAUCGGAAUUACUGGGCGUAAAGCGUGCGCAGGCGGUUAUAUAAGUCAGAUGUGAAAUCCCCGGGCUCAACCUGGGAACUGCAUUUGAGACUGUAUGGCUAGAGUGUGUCAGAGGGGGGUAGAAUUCCACGUGUAGCGGUGAAAUGCGUAGAUAUGUGGAGGAAUACCGAUGGCGAAGGCAGCCCCCUGGGAUAACACUGACGCUCAUGCACGAAAGCGUGGGGAGCAAACAGGAUUAGAUACCCCAGUAGUCCCUGUCUCUUAUAC
rnacentral:rRNA from 1 species